rnacentral:piRNA from 1 species
UCAUUACCUACCAGGUAAACACAGGAUGCA